GACGAACGCUGGCGGCGUGCUUAACACAUGCAAGUCGAACGGAAAGGCCCUGCUUUUGUGGGGUGCUCGAGUGGCGAACGGGUGAGUAACAAGUGAGUAACCUGCCCUUGACUUUGGGAUAACUUAAGGAAACUGGGGCUAAUACCGGAAAGGAGCUCCUGCUGCAUGGUGGGGGUAGGAAAGGUUCGGCGGUUGGGGAUGGACGCGCGGCUUAUCAGCUUGUUGGUGGGGUAGUGGCUUACCAAGGCUUUGACGGGUAGCCGGCCUGAGAGGGUGACCGGCCACAUUGGGACUGAGAUACGGCCCAGACUCCUACGGGAGGCAGCAGUGGGGAAUAUUGCACAAUGGGCGGAAGCCUGAUGCGGCAACGCCGCGUGCGGGAUGACGGCCUUCGGUUUGUAAACCGCUUUCGCCGGUGACGAAGCUUUAGUGACGGUAAUGGGUAAAGAAGCACCGGCUAACUACGUG
rnacentral:rRNA from 1 species